rnacentral:rRNA from 1 species
UUUAGUCGUACAGGUUUCCGUAGGUGAACCUGCGGAAGGAUCUUACCUAGAGUUGCGGGCUUUGCCUGCUAUCUCUUACCCAUGUCUUUUGAGUACCUUCGUUUCCUCGGCGGGUUCGCCCGCCGAUUGGACAAUUUAAACCAUUUGCAGUUGCAAUCAGCGUCUGAAAAAACUUAAUAGUUACAACUUUCAACAACGGAUCUCUUGGUUCUGGCAUCGAUGAAGAACGCAGCGAAAUGCGAUAAGUAGUGUGAAUUGCAGAAUUCAGUGAAUCAUCCGAAUCUUUGAACGCACAUUGCGCCCCUUGGUAUUCCAUGGGGCAUGCCUGUUCGAGCGUCAUUUGUACCUUCAAGCUCUGCUUGGUGUUGGGUGUUUGUCUCGCCUCUGCGCGCAGACUCGCCUCAAAACAAUUGGCAGCCGGCCGUAUUGAUUUCGGAGCGCAGUACAUCUCGCGCUUUGCACUCAUAACGACGACGUCCAAAAGUACAUUUUUACACUCUUGACCUCGGGAUCAGGUAGGGGAUACCCCGCUGAACUUGAGCAUAUCAAU